rnacentral:sRNA from 1 species
GGGGUGAAGUCGUAACAAGGUAGCCGUACCGGAAGGUGUGGCUGGAUCACCUCCUUAAAGGGAGACCUAAUUCAAGUAGGAGACGAAAAAAAAGUAGUCCCUACCAAGAAUCAAUCCCAAAAGGUCGGAGCGAGGCGAAAUUGGCUUUCAAACUAGGUUCUGGGUUCACACAAGACCUGAAUCAGGAACAAGGGCUAUUAGCUCAGGUGGUUAGAGCGCACCCCUGAUAAGGGUGAGGUCCCUGGUUCGAGUCCAGGAUGGCCCACCUGUACAGGUGGCAAAAACAAAGAAAAGAAGCUCCGAAUCAGCACCUUAUCUUAUUUAUAUAGUAAGAGAGAAUGCUGGCUCUGAGUAAAGAGUCCAGAGGAACCUUGAAAACUGCAUAGAGCUAGGUGUAAAA